UGCUCACCAGAUAAGAGGAUGUCAAGUUUGGUCUCUAUUGGGCUGUGUCGCGUCCUGCUGCUCCUGGCCACAACUGCCUUUUGGGCACCCCUGUGUGCUGCCGCUGGGUCCCACAGUCUUCGUUAUAACCUAAAAAUGAGAUCCCAGAACAACUUAGUGCACAGACAGUUCUUUGCUGAGGGUCUUUUGGAUGAUCAGCCCUUCCUGCACUAUGACAGUGAGAGAGACAGGGCAGAGCCUCAGGCACUAUGAGCAAAGACAGUCCUGGGAGCCGAGACCUGGAACACAGAGACCCAAGACUUGGCAGGGAGUGGGAAAAACCUCAGAAUGACUCUGGCAGAUAUCAUCAGUCUGCAGAGGCAGAAAGAAGGGUCUCAUUCCCUCCAGGAGUCUUGGGGCUGUGAGAUGCAAAAGAACAACCGUACCAGGGGCUUCUGGGAUUUCUACUAUGAUGAGGAGCCCUUCCUCUCCUUUCACCCUGUGACUCACAGCUGGACAGUGCACCCUUCCUCGGCUCAGACUUUGGCUAUGGAAGUCAAGAAGCACUGGAAAUCGGAUGAUAGUCCAAGCAAGGCUCAAUGGGCCCAUGUGCAAGGAA
rnacentral:lncRNA from 1 species